rnacentral:tRNA from 1 species
AGAGACUUAGGUUAUUCCAGACCAAGAGCCUUCAAAGCUCUAAGAAAGCCAAUCAGACUUAGUCUCUG